rnacentral:rRNA from 1 species
AACGAACGCUGGCGGCAGGCUUCAUACAUGCAAGUCGAACGGCCCGCAAGGGCAGUGGCGCACGGGUGCGUAACACGUGGGGAUAUGCCCUUCAGUACGGAACAAAGUCGGGAAACUGACGCUAAUACCGUAUAAUGUCUCCGGACCAAAGAUUUAUAGCUGAAGGAUUAGCCCGCGGCUGCUUAGGUAGUUGGAGAGGUAAUGGCUCACGAAGCGGACGAUCAGUAGGUGGUCUGAGAGGAUUAUCAGACACACUGGGAAUGAGACACGGCACAGACUCCUACGGGAGGCAGCAGUAAGGAAUAUUGGACAAUGGGGGAAACCCUGAUCCAGCCAUGCCGCGUGAGUGAAGAAGGCCUUCGGGUUGUAAAGCUCUUUUACCCCUGACGAUAAUGACGGUAAGGGGAGAAAAAGCCACGGCUAACUUCGUGCCAGCCGCCGCCGUAA